rnacentral:misc_RNA from 1 species
UGAUCAUCCUGUAGAUCCUAGAAGCAUGUACCUGUGGUUCAUCCAGGGUAAAACCAGAGCUGAGUAGUGCAGUCUCAAAAAGCAAGAUAACAAGAUCCUUGACAGCCUUAUCAUUCUUGUCUGCUUCCGCUUUCUGUCUGAGAUUGUCAAUGAUGGGAUGGUCUGGGUUGAUUUCCAGGUGUUUCUUGGCAGCCAUAUAGCCCAUUGUGGAAGUGUCACGUAGAGCCUGUGCUUUCAUGAUACGCUCCAUGUUUGCUGUCCAACCAUACUGUGAG